CCCAACUGGACGGCGAUAAAUGGUGGCCCGUACGGGGAGCCCCCUUUCUCCGUUUCUAACAGUGCACUGAGAGGGAGACCUUCCAGUUUUGCUGAGACAGAAAAGAGACUUUGGUAUCACUGCUGCCAUGGUGAUAGCUGUUGCCGCCGCUGCUGCUGCUACUGCACUUGCCGUUGCUAUUCCUGCAGCCAAGGAGAUUAAUCAACUGUUUACGAAUACCGCAGAAGCUCUACAAACCCAGAGUGCAAUUAAUGAUCAUCUCGCUGGAUAUCAUGCACAAGGUUUGACCAUGGAGUGGGGGUCACAUGGCAACCAUGAGAAAGAAUGGAUUCUACUAACAACUUGAAUGGUCCUGAAGUGACUGCUGACCCAGAGGUUCCUGAGACCAUCCAGUGCCUCAUGAACCAUGAUUUCACCCUUAUAGGGCCCUAACCAGAAAGCCCAGUCAAACCCACUAAAAU
rnacentral:lncRNA from 1 species